CUGGGGUGUGGAGUAAAUCUUGUUUUCAAUAACCUGUUGAGUGACAUUUUAUAUUGCCAUUGGCCCAUUCUCCUAAGAAACUCAAGAUAUUCACAUGUGUUAUCUCAUUAAUCUUCAACCCAUUCUUUGGUGGGCAGCUGGGGUUACACAACUGCUAUUUACAGAUAAGUAGCAUGGGAUUUGGUAUAGGAAUGAAGACAGAAAGCUGGUAAUUUGGCUAAUAUCACCCAGCACACAAUUGGCCAAGUGACACACCACAUCUCCUAAUUCUUUCCAUUAACAGUGCCUACUAAAGUCAAAAGAUUUGGGUAGAUAGGAAACUAGAUAAAUAAUCUGGAAAAAAAACCCACAUCCAAUUGUCAUAUAGAUGCCCUUGCCCUAUGCAAAGCACAGAGAAACGUGUCUUUAUGUUCUCCAUCCCAGAUUUUUUUACCUACUAUUUUUGUCUUGUCUGAAAUAUGUUGGUUUUGCCGUAGUUUGUUUUUCCAGUCUACCUUUCUCUCCAUUUUCUAACCUGUUCCAUGACUUUUCUUUCUUGUGUCUUAAGCUAGAUGUCCAGGAAAAUGGGAAGAAGGUUUAAACAAGGCUUUCAUCAUAGAUAUUCCCAUUUCAAACUCUCUCUCUCGACUUUCAAAAUUCUCUAUUCAUUCUAAAGUGAUAAGAAUUUAGUUACCUGGACUCAUUAAUUGUCAAGUAAUUGGUUAUUAACAAUUUGUUUUUCUCCUGCAGAUUUUGCAGUGAACUUUUAAGUAAUCUUUUCACCCUACAAGGUUGGGCUUGGCAAAGACAAAACAAUUCACACCCAAAUGUUGGGGACAGUCUAAUGGGAUAGUUUACACUGUCUUGGCUAUCUCAAAUCUUUUCCCUGGAAAUCUUUUUCUUUUGUAUUCCUACAUAAAUGUAUGAAGCUCAGCCUGGCUCAUGAAUAGCAAGUCUCUUAAAGUUGGCUCUUUCUAGUUCUUUGAACAUAAAACUUGAUGGUUCCUCUCAUCGGUGCAAACCCUCACUCCUCACAACUCAAAUGCCAAACACUUUGGAGGAUCUCCAUCUGACAGAUGUAACUAGUUAAAAUGGACAUUUAUUCAGCUCUUAAGUUCCCUGGUUCUAUGAAAGAAAUGAGACAUUUUUAUUUUCUUAGAGGCACAGACACACCUCCUUCCUCCUUUGACCAAGCUGCCUCCCUGCCAUCAGCCCCUGAUAGUGUGUUUUUGGUUGCCCACUGCCCCCAAACUUAGAGAAGGAAGGGUAGCCCCAAACUCUCACUUCUAUGAAGUUCAUACUUGACUAUGGGAGAAAACAGUGUUUUCAGAGCAGAAGCUUACAUAGCCAUUGGAUGGAAUUGGAUGAGCCAUUGGAUGAUUCCCAAGGUCAGCCCGAAAGAUUUUGACUGGGAUGCUAGAGACAUUUUCCUAUUUUCCUAAGAAACAGUAUGGUUUCUAAGCCACCUCCAUCAACAACACCCCAAGCGCAGAGUUACAGAAAGGAUAAAGGUACACCAAGUCAAAAACCCAUAGUGUUUCCUUUUCUUCCUUCUCAACAUUUUUUUUACCUUCUAAGCCUCUCUCCAUGGGUUGAUCCAAAACUGUGCCUCCAAUCUGAUUAGUUUUUUUUAAAUAAUUACCAUUUAUAAAUAUGAUAAUUAAUACAUUUCUACGAUCCUCAUUUUCCUCAUCUGUAAAAUCAGAUAAAAUGGCUACAUUUCAUAGAGUAGGUAGGAGUCAAGGUGCUCACAUACGCAAAACACUGUAAUGAUUCUGUUAUAGAAAACAUACUUAUAAAAAGUUACCUCUUAUUUUUUAUUACUGUGAUUAAAUGUUUUUAACCACCCCAGCCAGUGCUGUGAGCCUCAAACCUUUUUUGGGGGCCAACUCUUCCUUUGGCAUAUGUUUCCCCAUUUUCUGGCAGAGAAUCAGAUACCACAAAGUUCAAAACCCCAUCUCCCUCCAGCCAGGGUGGCCAUCCAGACCCUGAGUGGCUCAACAGCUGCCAAUGUCCCUCAUCCUUCUGAGGCUCAGGCCUCACAGAUUGUGGGGCAGGUGAUGGGCUAGGGGGAGCAGAAGCCCGACAAAAGGAUCCUUCCCACAGUGAACAAUGGUGCUUGGAAUGCUGGAUGGGCAGCUGCUGCCCAUCAACAAGCACCCAAAACAGAUAGACGUACAGUAGGAAGUACAGGAGGGCCGGUGUGUUUCUAAGCAUGAGUGGCUCUCUGCGUGAAUGUGGAAAAUUUCUCUGUUGGAUUCUCUCUUCUUUUUAAUUUUCCCUUCACUGGAUCCCAAACAUUAAAAAAGAAUCACAUUCAAAAUGCACAAAAACAGCAGCAGUGAAUUAAUUAGUAGUAAUAACAAAGGACUGGAUAGACUGUAGCUGCACAAGAAUAAGCCAGGGAAACGUGGUGCUGCUUAUCUGUGAACAAACAGUAGGAAGGAUUUGGUCCCAAGCAGCACUGCCAUUCCUCACAACAGAUUUAUUUCAGCAUGAUUUGGUCGGGCGGGGGGGAUUUAGGAUGAGUUGAGAUCCCAGUGAUCUUCUCGCUAAGAGUUUCCUGCCUGGGCAAGGAGGAAAGAUGCUACAAGUGGCCCACUUCUGAGAUGCGGGCUGCUUCUGGAUGACACUGCUUCCCGAGGCCACAUGCUUCUUUAUAUCCCCAUAUGGAUUACUUUGCUAUGGAAUGUAAGGAAGUGUGUGGUUUCGGCAAGUGCCUCCUCGCUGGCCCCAGGGUACCACCCGGAGCACAGGUUUGGUGACCUUCUUCCUCAUCAGGGCUUUGUGCCAGCAAAUGACUCCCUCACCAAGGAAGCAAGAGCCUCUGAAUCCCAUCUGGGCUCUUCCUGAACACCCCUAUCUCCCCCUCUUGAGGCGUCCUCGCUCAGCCCAAGGUUUCAGGCACACUGACUGCUGUCCCACAGUCCCCGCUGUGGCCAGCCUCCCAGACCUGGCUCCUCUGGCCAGCCUGGUGAGGAAAGGCCUUUCCCCCAAAGGUUUUUCACAGAAUCAGCCCUCACCCUCCUAGUUCCUUCCUCUGGUCAUAUUACUUCUGAAAUGAGAGGUUUCUAUGAACCAAACUGAAUCAUAAUCUCUUUCAAGCCAUGUGUAUUGCAAGCGUUUCUCAGGGCUUGCAUUGUACUGAGGCAGGUGCUGUGAGUGAGGUUCAGGAAACCAUAAUAAGUAGUUCAUCCGGGGUCACAGUCCCCUGACUCUGCUCUGCUGUCCUUUCCACUUCACACCACAACCCUGUCACAAAUGGACUCUGCAAGGCUGUUUGAAGAAACACCUUGAGAUGCUAAAAUAGCGAUUAACUCAACUAACAGGCAAGUUCCUUUCUCCUCUGUUUCCUAAACCCCUGUGUUCCCAGCUCUGACUCCAAAGGGCUUGAACCCACACCAAGAAAGUGCUGAAUCUACAGAGGGAAGCCUUGAGCAGGAGGGGAGGCUGCAGUCACCCAAGGCUCAUGCCAUCACCCCACGAAGAGUUUCAGAACAAGGGAGGAAGAUGAAGAGGCCUCCUUCCCUCACUUAAACCCCCAUUCCAGGAUGGCUCUUACAUCCCACACCUCUGACUCCUUGUUUUUAGGGCUUAGACAAAUGAUGCUUGAGACACACCAAGAUACCUGCACACUAGAGGCUGCAGUCACCUCAGAAGAAAGAUGCCCCCUGCUCUGGCUGGUCAAACGGAACCAAGUCCGUCUUCCUGAGAGGUUUGGUCCCCUUCAACCAGCUACAGCAGGGCUGGCAAUGCCCAGUCCUUGGAGAAACAGAAGAGAUUCAACUGCAACUGAAAUUACCUACUAAAACUUUCCUUGAGAAAACAAUUCUGGUUUUUUCACCAUAUUCUUAUGCUCCCAGGAAGGAAGAGAAGAGGAGUCCUGGAGUCAAAAGUGAGCAAGAUUUUAAUGCUCAACACACACUGUUCUGUGCCUUUGCACUCACAGCUGCAGCCACUUACAUGCUUUUGACAGACACACAGUCAAGAAAGAGUUUGAGGAUGGAGUUUGUGCCAACCCUAAGCCAGCCAGGGGAAGAGCAUGAGACAUAGAAGACAGGGCUCCUGCUCACUAGGGGCUAACAGUCUAAGGAAAGAAAUUAGACAUGUAUAUAUGGUGUGAUCCAAUUGAAUUGCAAGUUAUAGCAUGGCUAGUUCCAAGGCAUAAUUCUUACCUAUCCCACCAAAUAUGCCUAGCACAUUAUGUAUCAUCAAGUCUCUAUUGAUCUAUUCAGCCCAAGAUAUCUAUUCACUAAGCAAUCAUUUCUCAGUUCCCUGAUCUGUAGAAUAGGGAUAAUAGUACCUGUCACACCAGGCACAGUGGCUUAUGCCUAAAAUCUCAGCAUUUGGGGUGGCUAAGACAGGGGAUUGCUUGAGGCCAGGAGUUCCAGAUCAGCCUGGUCAACAUAGCAAGAUGCUGUUUCUACCAAAAAAAAAUUUUUUUUGUUUUAAUUAGCUGAAUGCGGUAGUGCACACCUAUAGUCCUAGCUACUUGGGAGGCUGAGGCAGGAAGAUCACUUAAGUCCAGGAGAUGGAGGCUGUAAUGAGCUAAGUUCUCAUAAUCGCUACCUUUUACUAAGGGAGAAUUCUGACCUGUCCUUCCAGUUUAUCUUUUAAGAUUUGUAUCUUUUAUGGUGUGUGUCUGGAACUUAGACAGUAAUAAGUAAAUAUUUGGGUUUAAAAUUCUAUAGACAUGUGUGUUCACAUGCUGUAUUCUGACACAAAUGGGGUAGCAUAAGUGCCUAGAGCCCACCACAGUGACCUCAGAGGAGAACACAGAGCUUACUAGCACAAAUCUUUGCAUUCAGGAAGACCUGGGGUUGAAUGCUGCCCCUCUAAUUUAUUAGCUGUGAUAUAUCCUCUCCGCAGCUCAAUUAACAUUGCACAAGCCUUAGUUUACUCAUCUGUAAAAUGGGGACAAUGAUACCAACCUCAGUUACCGUAAGGCUUAAAACAGACAGUGUUAAUAAAGAGCCAAAUAUAAGCCCUUAAGAAAUAGUAGCUGUUGUUUUACUGCUGUAAAUGGCAACAGCACAAGGACAAUGCUGUGUCCACAGGCACUUGUAUGUAGAAGGAAAGAGCCAAAUUAAAAAAAAAAUAGGAGAAGAACUCAAAAAAUACAUAAAGGCUCAUUGCUCACUGUAGGGUUUUGUUUUUUGUUGUUGUUGUUUUGUUUUUGUUUUUGUUUAUUUUUUGAGACAGGGUCUCACUCUGUUGCCCAGAUAGGAGUGCAGUGGCACGAUUUCAGCUCACUGCAACCUCCGCCUCCCAGGCUCAAGCGAUUCUCCUGCCUCAGCCUCCCAAGCAGCUGAGAUUACAGGCACGCACCACUACCACCCGACUAAGUUUUAUAUUUUUAGUAGAGACAGGGUUUCACCAUGUUGGCCAGGCUGGUCUUGAACUCCUGACCUCAAGUGAUCCGCCCGCCUUGGCCUCCCAAAGUGCUGGGAUUACAAAUGUGAGCCACCGUGCCCAGCCUAUAGGGUAUUUUUAUAUUCCAACUAUUAAUUCUACUAGCAUGUAGCAUACAUGCAUUCACCCUAGUACAUAUGACUAGCAUAUAAUAUGCUUUACUUUUAAAAAAUGCUUUAUACAUGAGACUGAUCUUACCAUCUUCAAUAUCCUGUCUGGAAAGCCUUCAUUUGUGAGUGCUGUUGAGAUCACAUGUCCUCCCAAGUAGGACAUGGAGUGUGAAGGCCAUUGAGUGGGUGUUCCAAAGGGCAGCACAGAAUGGAGUUUAGUUGAAGGUGCUGGGGACACACUACCUGGGCUCAAGUCCCAGCUCCCCACUCUCCAGCUGUGCCACUUGAGCAAGUUGCUUGACCUCUCCAGGCCUGGGUUUCCUCAUCUGUAAAGUAGGAAUAUUGAUAAUAAUAUCUACUUCAUAGAGUUUCAUGAGAAUACAUGUAAAGGCCUGAAACCAGUAUUGGGUACAUAAUAAUACAUUCUUAAGAGUCUUUAUUUCUGACAAUGUACCUGAAAUGUUCCUGAAAUUAAGUUGGUGUUCAAUAAAAACAUGUUCACUGAAAGAUCAGCUUCUUUGUUUAUUUUAAGCACAAACUAUGGGAUCAUGUAAUUUUUGGUUCAACUAUUUCUACUUAUCUCUUUCAAUGCAGCACACUGGUUCAAAGCAGUAGUAAGGUGUGGGGGAAGGAUGGCAACAAGCUUCUCUCUGCUUCCCAGGUCUGUGAUGAAAUGGAACUUCCCUGCGAACUAGGGGUAUGCCUCUGGGAGUAGAAGCAGGGUGAUCU
rnacentral:lncRNA from 1 species